GAUGAACGCUAGCUACAGGCUUAACACAUGCAAGUCGCGGGGCAGCAUGGGGGUUGCUUGCAAUCCCCGAUGGCGACCGGCGCACGGGUGAGUAACGCGUAUUCAACCUGCCCUUCACCACGGGAUGACCCGGCGAAAGUCGGACUAAUACCGUAUGUUGUCCAUUGACGGCAUCCGAUUUGGACGAAAGGCUUGGCGGUGAGGGAUGGGGAUGCGUCCGAUUAGCCAGACGGCGGGGUAACGGCCCACCGUGGCUACGAUCGGUAGGGGUUCUGAGAGGAAGGUCCCCCACACUGGAACUGAGACACGGUCCAGACUCCUACGGGAGGCAGCAGUGAGGAAUAUUGGUCAAUGGGCGUAAGCCUGAACCAGCCAAGUAGCGUGCAGGAUGACGGCCCUAUGGGUUGUAAACUGCUUUUAUGCGGGGAUAAAGUGGCCCACGUGUGGGCUUUUGCAGGUACCGCAUGAAUAAGGACCGGCUAAUUCCGU
rnacentral:rRNA from 1 species